rnacentral:rRNA from 1 species
GACGAACGCUGGCGGCGUGCUUAACACAUGCAAGUCGAACGGAAAGGCCCUGCUUUUGUUGUUUGCUCGAGUGGCGAACGGGUGAGUAACACGUGAGUAACCUGCCCUUGACUUUGGGAUAACUUCAGGAAACUGGGGCUAAUACCGGAUAGGAGCUCCUGCUGCAUGUUGGGGGUUGGAAAGUUUCGGCGGUUGGGGCUGGACUCGCGGCUUAUCAGCUUGUUGGUGGGGUAGUGGCUUACCAAGGCUUUGACGGGUAGCCGGCCUGAGAGGGUGACCGGCGACAUUGGGACUGAGAUACGGCCCAGAAUCCUACGGGAGGCAGCAGUGGGGAAUAUUGCACAAUGGGCGGAAGCCUGAUGCAGAAAUGCCGCGUGCGGGAUGACGGCCUUCGGGGUGUAAACCGAUUUCGCCUGUGACGAAGAGUGAGUGACGGUAAUGGGUAAAGAAGCACCGGCUAACUACGUG